AACUGCUGGGGACAGAGAAACUGCCUUUGUUCGUGAGCCAUCAGAAUAUGAAUAUCUGACAAUUUUCAAAAGAAUCAAUUAAAAUCAAUCUAUGUGUGAAGAACAUUUUGAUGGCAUGGACUGGAAAUGCCUGUUAAUGUGCUAACCACCUUCCUUCAGACCUUUUGAAGAUGAAGCAGGGGACAAUAGGUUUGCUUGCUCUGUGGAUGAUCAAAUCGGCUAAAUUGCUAGCUAUGCAGACAGGAAAUUAAUCAUGCAAAAGCACUUGCACAUCUGUAUGAAUGUUCAUCUUAAAUUUAACUGGGAAGUUUAAAUGGCUUUAGACAAAGAGUCAAAAUCCUAAACAAUAAGUCUUAAAAAAAAAAAAGUACUAAAAGAAAAAUAAAUGAAUAUUUUUCCAUUUUAAGCACAUGUAAAAUCACAAGAAAAGUUCUGACUUACAGAUAUCAAAGAAACAAAAAUGCAGGAGUUCUCAGUCCUUCUGCUCCUACAACUAAUUGCUUUAGAGCAAGAGUACUUCCUUUUUAUGGCUUUGUUACAAACCUCUGGAACUAAAGAGCAACAGAAUAAUGACCUCAGCUGGGGUUAGUGAGGUGAAGAGCAGCUCAAAGUAUUCUUGAGAACAUUUCUGAACAUUAGAUAUGUGUUAAAAAAAAAAAAAGAGAGGGAAAGAGACACAGAAAGGAAAAAACUCUCAAAUCAGUUUUCUGGUAUCCACAUACAACAAGGAAUAACUUUUGUUUCUUCUGAUGAGUAAUUCUAAAACCACCAACAAACAAAAAACCUCACAAAUUAAGCUUUAAUUCUCUGAAAAUAUGACCACAGUACAUAUGUCUUCUCCACCCAAAGCAGGAAGAAAAUGGAAGUAGCUGAUGUCAAAGAGCAAACUCCUUUUUCCCUUUCUUCAAAGGAAAGUGAAGACGUUCACAUUUAAAGAGCGAACUCCACAAUGAAGAAGAGAGCUGAAAAUAACAUAUGGAAUAUAAUACCA